CCUACGGGCGGCAGCAGUGAGGAAUAUUGGUCAAUGGGCGCGAGCCUGAACCAGCCAAGUAGCGUGAAGGAUGACUGCCCUACGGGUUGUAAACUUCUUUUAUAAAGGAAUAAAGUGAGGCACGUGUGCCUUUUUGUAUGUACUUUAUGAAUAAGGAUCGGCUAACUCCGUGCCAGCAGCCGCGGUAAUACGGAGGAUCCGAGCGUUAUCCGGAUUUAUUGGGGUUAAAGGGAGCGUAGAUGGGUUGUUAAGUCAGUUGUGAAAGUUUGCGGCUCAACCGUAAAAUUGCAAUUGAUACUGGCAGCCUUGAGUACAGUUGAGGUAGGCGGAAUGUAUGGUGUAGCGGUGAAAUGCUUAGAGAUCAUACAGAACACCGAUUGCGAAGGCAGCUUACCAAACUAUAUCUGACGUUGAGGCACGAAAGCGUGGGUAUCGAACAGGAUUAGAUACCCUAGUAGUC
rnacentral:rRNA from 1 species